UACGAAGGGGGCUAGCGUUGCUCGGAAUCACUGGGCGUAAAGCGUGCGCAGGCGGUUCGUUAUGUCCGAUGUGAAAGCCCCGAGCUCAACUUGGGAAUGGCAUUGGAAACUGGCGGGCUGGAGUGUGGCAGAGGGGGGUGGAAUUCCACGUGUAGCAGUGAAAUGCGUAGAGAUGUGGAGGAACACCGAUGGCGAAGGCAGCCCCCUGGGCCAACACUGACGCUCAGGCACGAAAGCGUGGGGAGCAAACAGG
rnacentral:rRNA from 1 species